GCGGGUGUAGCAUAGUGGUAAUGCUCCAGCCUUCCAAGCUGGCCAGGAGGGUUCGAUUCCCUUCACCCGCUCCA
rnacentral:tRNA from 1 species